rnacentral:lncRNA from 1 species
UUUCUGGUAUGGCGCUGGAAAGUAUUGAUACCGAUAAUCUACUGCACGGGGGUCCAGCAGACCUGGUAAAGACGGGGAGCGAGAGAGAAAAAGAUUACGGUAAGGCAAGAUGAACGUCCCCUAUCAAUCGGCGCCCACCGAGCUGGGGAAUUGGAAGCUGAUUGCACGAACGGUCACAUGCGUACGCAAUGCAUGCGUGCAUGUCAGUUGCACAGCAUGUUUUCUUGCGGAAGAAAAAGUGUCUAGGCAGCGGAAUCAUCUCCCUUCCUCCCUGCAUUCCGCCUUUUUUCUUCCCUGCGUGGCAUGUCGGCAACACGGGUAAAGAGGCAGCAACUUAGAUGGGCGUUUUGGUUGGGGGGUUAAAUGAUGGAAGCUGCACCCAACACACAGCUUUGGCCUUUUGUUGGGUUUCCCCUUUUGUUGGCUCCUCCUGUUGUGCGCCGUGUUGCGCUGGGUCCUGGCCGUCGUUCCGUUGGGAUAGAAGCUGCGUGUAGCAACACUUACUGGCCGUCUCCUGGACUAUGCUACCUCUGCCCGGGCCGCAACAGUUCCUGCAACCCCCCAGUAUCUUUCAGUAACUUGCUUAGACACAUAGGCAUUUACCCCCGGGCAC